rnacentral:rRNA from 1 species
UGGGGAAUAUUGGACAAUGGGGGCAACCCUGAUCCAGCCAUGCCGCGUGAGUGAUGAAGGCCUUCGGGUUGUAAAGCUCUUUUGGCGGGGACGAUGAUGACGGUACCCGCAGAAUAAGCCCCGGCUAACUUCGUGCCAGCAGCCGCGGUAAGACGAAGGGGGCUAGCGUUGUUCGGAAUUACUGGGCGUAAAGCGAGUGUAGGCGGUUGCCGUAGUCAGGUGUGAAAGCCUUGAGCUCAACUCAAGAAAUGCACUUGAUACUGGGUGACUAGAGGACCGGAGAGGAUAGUGGAAUUCCCAGUGUAGUGGUGAAAUACGUAGAGAUUGGGAAGAACACCAGUGGCGAAGGCGGCUAUCUGGACGGUUACUGACGCUAAGACUCGAAAGCGUGGGGAGCAAACAGGAUUAGAUACCCUGGUAGUCCACGCCGUAAACGAUGGGUGCUAGACGUUGGCGAGCUUGCUCGUCAGUGUCGCAGCUAACGCGUUAAGCACCCCGCCUGGGGAGUACGGCCGCAAAGGGUUUG